CUGACGGAGUUUUGCUCUUGUUGCCCAAGCUGGAGUGCAAUGGUGCGAUCUUCGCUUACUGCAACCUCUGCUUCCUGGGUUCAAGUGAUUCCCCUGCCUCAGCCUCCCGAGUAGCAGGGAUUACAGUCUUCAAAUAAGUGUUUACGUAGAAGCACCAUAUCUGAAACAGGUGACAGUGGACCAGUCUGAAUGAAAUGAGGGUUGGCAGGCCUGAGCUCCAAAACCUUCUGAUUGCCCAAGCCCUCCUUGUCUUGCUUGGAUUAUCUCCACACAAAUGGAGAAACUGGACAAGGUGGUCAUGGAGGUCCCUGAAAGCUCAAAGACUUUCUCAUUCCAGGAUUCCCCAUGUUCAUAUGCCAGCAUGGCAUGGGGGUGCUCUGUAGUCAAGCAGGGUCCUUUGGGGGGCUUAGGGAUGGAGCCAGGAAAUGGCUCUGGGACUCAGCGGGUGUCCAGAGUCUCAUCAGCAGGGUUUCUUUACUUUCACUGAGUGGCUGGUGCCUGCACACUGAGUUUUGCAGGCUUACUCUCACAGAGUGAGCUUCCUGCAGGCCCCCCACUGCAACCCCUUUCCUUCCUGGAGCUGUGUGCUGACUGGUGCGUGAGCACCCCAGGCCCUCUCCCCAUGCUGCUGAUGGUCAGCUUUCUCUGCACGCUCGUGGUUGCCACAGUCAACGCUGAUAAAAUUGCUGAUGCAGAUUGCCUGCCCAGCUGCGAGUGCUGGCACGGGACCAGCAGCCCAGACGGUCACUGGAAGUGGUUGGGCUGAUUAUUGGCAUCAUCUCCAUUGUCCUACUCGGUUCUUAAAGGCAUAUGGACUUGCCUCACUCCUACAGCAAAUGACGGCAUGGGCAAAGAGGGGCAACAGACCCACCCUGAAGACACUCCUCAUCUGGUUGACUUGGCAGGGUUAAGGGAAAAAGAUGUGAUGACUAGGAGCUGAGAGCUUAGUGGUUCUGCCAGAGCUGCAGAGUCUUUGUUGGCCUCAGGGUGGGACCUCUCACAUCUCUGUCAGCUUUUCACGGACACCAACCUGUUAUGAUUCAUUUCACCUGUCCUGAGCACUAGCAAGAAAAAUUCGCUGUAGCUUGUGAUGUAUUAUUCUGGAUUUCUCAACUCAUUCAUUUGUUCAUUCAUUCACUAUACCAUUACUGUCUAUUAUAAGGGGGGCACAAUGGUAGGUGCUGGGAAUAAAAACGAUGUUUAACGUUU
rnacentral:lncRNA from 1 species